rnacentral:misc_RNA from 1 species
UCUCGGCAUGACCCGGUAGCAACUGGGAGCGGGGGUUGCGCUCGUUGCGGGACUUAACCCAACAUCUCACGACACGAGCUGACGACAGCCAUGCAGCACCUGUCUAGGGACUCCGAAGAGGGGCCCCGGUUUCUCGAGGCUUUCCCCUAGAUGUCAAGCCCAGGUAAGGUUCUUCGCGUUGCGUCGAAUUAAACCACAUCAUCCACCGCUUGUGCGGGUCCCCGUCAAUUCCUUUGAGUUUUAGCCUUGCGGCCGUACUUCCCAGGCGGGGCACUUAAUGCGUUAGCUACGGCACGGAGCCCGUCGAUCGAGCCCCACACCUAGUGCCCAACGUUUACGGCGUGGACUAC